UACGAGGGGUGCAAGCGUUGCUCGGAAUUAUUGGGCGUAAAGAGCGUGUAGGCGGCCGUACAGGUCAGCUGUGAAAACUCGAGGCUCAACCUCGAGACGUCGGUUGAAACCGUACGGCUAGAGUCCGGAAGAGGAGAGUGGAAUUCCCGGUGUAGCGGUGAAAUGCGCAGAUAUCGGGAAGAACACCCGUGGCGAAGGCGGCUCUCUGGGACGGUACUGACGCUGAGGAGCGAAAGCGUGGGGAGCGAACAGG
rnacentral:rRNA from 1 species